UACCACAGGGAUAACUGGCUUGU
rnacentral:ncRNA from 4 species